GCCAUUGGAUUCCAUUUGGCAAUCUUGUACAAUGGUUUCAAGAUGGCGACGGCCAUUUUGAAUCUUGUCUCUCUGACUCUCUGUCAGUGUCAGUGGAAGCGUGGAUUUUGAGAGAAAAGUGACGACAUUAAUGUCCUUUAAUGGGAGUUUUCAGUUUUGAUGCUAGCUACAUUGCUUCGUAGAUGUAUUUAUAUUUGUGAUGGGUUGACGACGGAGAGUGCGAUUAGCUUUUUUUCUACGUAGAUUGAGUAACUCUUGUGCCUUUUUUUAUUUGUCGAUGAAUUUUGAAGCUUAAAGAUUUGGAGCCAUGUUGUCCACCACGUCCAGAAGAGAAGCUGAGUAACAUUUUACAAUUACAAUGUUUGAUUGCAGGCACCUUUUAAAGUAUGGAACUUCACUUCAACCCACGGCCCCCAAUUUUGUGUUUGAGAGUCGACAAUGUGCAGUAGUUUUUCAGCCGGUUUCCAGUUUUGGUGUUAUCCUGGAUUGUGUUGAUAGUCUAUGAUUUACACUGGGUAAACUUUGUGGCCAUCAGAUAUUCAGAUGGUGAAGGAUGUCAUCAAGUUCAGUUGUUGCACGAAGUCUGUGGUGCCGGUGUUAUCCUAGAGUGUGGGACAGUAGAACGAGCUUUACACCCAAAUUAAAGGCAGUCUCUCUCUGUAUUGAUUGACUGAAAUUUGCAUGUUGAUAAAAUUAAUUGAAUGCAGGUUAGAUAUUUAUAUGUGUGAUUAGGUAUGAUAAACAUAUGUACAAACUAAUGUCGAUAAGACCUUGUGUCGAUCGAAGCAUCGAACCUUGUGAAUGUUACACUUCCCAUAAGAAAUAUUAAUUAAAUGUCAACUCAUAUAAUCCAACUUGUUUCUUCAUCUUUUCCAACCUGUUUUCAAACCUACAAGACCCACAUUGCAUGUAAUCAAAUUAAACACAAGUCCCGUAUGUCGAUUAAGUGUUUAAUAAACAGGUGCCGUGUUGCACUGUUGCUCUCUCAAA